UACGUAGGGUGCGAGCGUUAAUCGGAAUUACUGGGCGUAAAGCGUGCGCAGGCGGUUUUGUAAGGCAGACGUGAAAUCCCCGGGCUUAACCUGGGAACUGCGUUUGUGACUGCAAGGCUAGAGUACGGCAGAGGGGGGUAGAAUUCCACGUGUAGCGGUGAAAUGCGUAGAGAUGUGGAGGAACACCGAUGGCGAAGGCAGCCCCCUGGGCCGACACUGACGCUCAGGCACGAAAGCGUGGGGAGCAAACAGG
rnacentral:rRNA from 1 species